UAUCCUCCCGCCUUGGCCUCACAGAGUGCUAGGAUUACAGGUGUGAGCCACAGCGCCCGGCCCAGAUGAGAAAUUUUAUGAGCUCUCACCCCAAUUAUCUACUUACCAGCAUCUGUGCCCAAAAACUCUGCCUUCCCUUCUGUUUCGAUGGAUGAACAAAGGUGACCCCUUCUAGAUGUGCACCAGAUCUUAUGCCUUUUUUAAAGGAUACUGCUUCAGCAAUUCUUUCUUACAUUAUUAUUCUGUGAUCAUUCCUCACUGGGUCAUUCUUACCAGCAUCUAUGCUAUAAAUUCUCUCAUCAGGAAAAAAAGCCCCUCCUUGACCUUCUAUCCCAGACCAUGACAAUUAAGUACUUGAAAAGAAGUUUAAGAUUAAGAUGCUACCCUUAACAAGAUUUCAGGACUCAUUAGAAAGCUACUAUAAUCAAGAGUGUGUAGUAUUGACCAAACAAACAGAAUAGAGAACCCAGAGAGAGACUCAUGGAUAUACAACAGAUAGCACUGCAGAUCAGAGAGAAAAGGAAGGACUGCUUAAUAAAUGGUGCUGAAAAUGCUAGCCAUAAAAAGAAAAUCUGAUAUAGCUGACUACAAUAAAAUUAUAAGUCUGUUCACUAAAAGUAUCAGAAAGAAAUUGAAUGGAUAAGUGAUAAACUUGGAGAAGAUACUUACAAGGCACAUGACCAUGCAUGUUAGAAUCCAGAACAUGUAAAGAAGCUCUACAAAUCAAUAAGAAAAAUUAUCCCAUAGGAAAAUAAGCAAAAACCCAAACCAAGCAAUGCACAGAGGAGGAAACAUGGGUGGUCAAUAAAAAUGAAAAGAAGCUCAAUCUUAUCAUUAAUCAGGGAAUUGUAAAUUAAUACUAUAAUAGAACAUUUUUGUCUAUUAUGUUGGCAAAAACUAAAAAGCCUGAUUAUGCCAAGUCAAUCACAGAGGAUUCUUAUACACUGUUGGUAGGAGUGUAAAUUGGUCCAACUACUAGAAAAAUAAGUUUGCAAUAUCCUGUAAAGUUAAAAACCAUAAACCAUGACUCAGUAUUUUCAAUUCUAGUUACAUGAUUCCAGUACACAUACACCAGAAGACAAGUAUGACAAUGCUCACAGAGACACAGCUCAUAAUUGCAAACUUCUGGAAAUAACUCAAAUGCCCAUCAAUAGGAGACUGGAUAAAAUAAGUUGUAGUACACUCACAAAACUGAGUAUUAUAUCGUAGUGAAAAAGGAAUAAAAUCACUGCUACACAUAACCACAUGAAGGAAUCUUGGAAACAUAGUGAAUGUUUACUAAUGCUGAGAUAUGGACGCUGAAUCUGAAGCAAAAUGUCCUCUAGGUUAGUAGAAGAAAAGUGAAAUUAGGUGAGGUAGAGGAGAUAGAUGUGGGACAUUCCCCUCUACCUAACAGGGAUGUAGUAAGAAAAGUUUGUGAAGCACUAUUUUUCAGUGCAAAGGAAGACAACUCAACUUUAAGAAAUAGAUCAGAAGAAAGACCACCAUAUUCAACAAAAAGGAAACAUUUCAGAAGCCAAAAGAGAAUAAGGUUAUGCUAGCGACCUCAACCUGUGGAAAAAAGCUUCAACAAGACUACCUGGACAGCUUAACAUAUGUCUUCUAGAGCUUGGGAGUCAUAGAAGGCUAGUGUUUGACUCAAGCCUGAGAAAUCUUGAAAGAACACAAGACUUUCUGAAACUGCCAAUUCAUAAUUAACAAAAGAAAAAAACAAAGCCAAAAAAUUUUGAUAGACAAGUGUUCCUGACAGGGUUGCUAAACAAAUAUUUAAUAAUGGAAAGUAAACACCAAUAUAUGCCAGAGUUAAGAGAGCAGACAAUGGUCAUGGUGAUCAGUGGGAGAGGGGAGAGAAUGACAUCACGGCCCAGUUCUUCAUGAAGCUUGGCUACCAGAGAAACAGAGAGAGCAAUACCUGAAAGCAUGGUCCAGUCUAUCUUGCCCCCAAAUCCUGAACUCUAUGGAAACUCCAGAAAUGGCCCAUCACAUUCAGGAAUCUGAAGGAGGGAUAACAAUGAGAAGUCCCCACAAUUCCCAGUGUCUAGAGCCAACUUACUAUUAUAAAGCCACAAAGAAACUGCUGAAAAACACAACUGCCAAGCCACAGAAGCAUUUACUGAGACUUUACUAGGUAUCUUGCAUUAUUUCUGUUCCUGGAAGGUAAUUAUUUAGCAACUUAAUCAGAACUUAAUUAGGAAACAAGUUCUUUCAUGUAUACUUUAACAUUUGAUUCCUAGGAAAAAGAAGAGAAAGAGAAUAAGAAUUAUCAUCCUCCCUAUUUUAUAAAGAGGUUGUAAAAGAUGCCUAACCUAACAAAGCAAGACAGUCGUGGAAUUAGGUAACAGGACACUGUCCAUGCUUUCAGCAGCACUGUUUGAAGUGAUAAGGACAACAUUUUGCUGUGGGCUAAUAACUCCAUCAAGUGGAUUGGACUCUGACCUAACAUCUGGAGACUUUCACAAUACAGAACUUUCUUUAUUAAUAAGUAAAAAUAUUUGGGCUCUUCACCUAUUAUGUUUACUGUAUUUACUAGCCUACCAUGCUUUUCUAAUGCUGAGAGGCAUUUUUUAAAAAGUCAUUAUUUUCCAAAGAAUCGAACAACCUUUUAUAGUAGAAACCUGACUUCAGAGAAUUAAUAAUAUUUUUCAAAUCAUAGGGGAACAAAAUUCAUUAGGGCAUUCCAAAGGGAAUUGCCAGAACACAGAUUCAUCUGGUUGAAAUGGGAGCACUGGAAAAUGAAUAUACAGGUAUUAUAAGAGUUUAAGUUGCCUAUCUGCUCCCAGAUUAAGCAGAAGAAAAUGAGACAAUGUGCCAAUUCCCUGGCAAAGUGAAUGUAGUCCCUAGGGAAAAGGCUGAGUGAAUCUGUGUUAUCCUACCUGAGGACUGAAUCACUGGACUUCGUUGGACUAAGGCCAAAGUAAUGAAGA